rnacentral:lncRNA from 1 species
UUUUCUUUUUUUUAUUGGUUGUAUUUGUUUUUGCUAUAGUUAAAAUACAGUUUUGUCAAGGCCACGUGUCUCGCGAGGUACUUUGUCUGGGUUAUAUUUUCUCCUUUUUUGUUUCCUCUCAUUUCCAUCUUUGCUUCGCGGUCGCUCUCAGAGCUUAAAUUCUUUUCGCCUCCAAAAAUUUCUGCUUCGGGUUGUCGCAAAUUUUGGUCCUGUUGGUUUCAAUCGGUGCUUUCUGUGGUUCUCCAGCCUGCGGUUGCUCGGAAAAUACGAAAUCAAUGUAAGGUUUUUCUGAUUUUUAGUUUGGUUGGAAGAAAGAGUUCUCUUUUGUUGUGUCUGAAGAUAUCAAAAACUAAAUCUUUUUCUUUUCCUUAAUUUUUUAACCCAGAUCAUGUUAUGGGUUAUGAUGAGAGAUUAAAUUGGGUUUGGGAGUUAUUUUAACCCAGAUCAUGUUAUGGGUUAUGAUUUGUUCUUUGAGUUUUUUUGUUUGCUUGAUCUCUUAUAUGAAUAUGUUUUCUUCUUUGUCUGUAAUCGUGGUUAUUAAAGUGAUGUGUGUUUGUGUAUGCUGCAGAUCCAAUGUAUUGAAAAUGCUUGCAGUGAUGAGGGGAUGUGCCUGAUAAGGUAAUGGAUUUAAAAUUUUUAAUCUGAUGUUAGUUUUCUUUUUCAUUCUGUAUCCAUGACUUCAUGGUAUUAAAUUGUUGUUGGAAACUGAAAUAAAGCUGAAAAUAUCAUCUGGUUUGUGCAGCAAUUGAGUUUACACAUUUUGGAUUUCUUUCCUUGUUUAAAUAUUGUUGCAUACUUCUUUCGUCCAGAUAGUGUAAUGUGCGGACAGUGUGUGAGUUGAAUAGUUAUAUACUAGUAAUAGAGCCCGCGCGUUGCUGCGGGUUUUAAAAGUGUAAAACAUACAAUAAGUUCUAUACAUAAGUAUGAUCAUAUUAGGUGUUGAACAUUGGAGUUUACAUUCCUGUUUACAGCUAUAUUUACAUACAUACACUAAUUAGCACUAUUUAAAUUUCGUUGACUGUCACUUUAGAACUUCAUUGUUUUAUUUUUCACAAUAUACAUGCUUCUCUAAUAAAAAUAAGAAAAAAACAGAAGUUGUUAAUAUAAAUGAAAAUUCAAGUGAGCAGGUAAAGCCAAGCAUAUAUAUAUAUAUAUAUAUAUAGUAUUUACAGUCAGAACAUAUCAAUGGUCCAACUAUUGUGGAGCUCGAAUUUAUAUAAGAAAGGACCAAUCCAAUCAUAAUUAAAAUGAAAACAUGUAAGUAAUUAAGAAUUAUUACUUGCUAAAGAAAUCCGAACAGCCAGUUCCUUCUUAUUGCUUCAGGGACUAUUCAAUUGAACCAAAUCUGAUCAAAUUGCAUCACCCAACCAAACAAACAAAAAUAAAGUUAAAAAGGAAAAUCAGGGGAGCUAAGGAAAAUUUUGAAAACUCACCAAGAACCAAAAUGAUAUAGGAGUUCUAACUUUCUAUCAUUUUCCUUAUUCAUUUUGAAAGUGAAAAAUUCGUACUCUUUACUUUACCCAAGCAUUGAACUGUUAUACAUUUAAUAACAAAAACUGACCUUGAUUGGGACCAAUAGAGUGCUUGAUCAUCACAUUGCUGAGUUUUAUAAGAUCUUUCAUGUUUACAGCAUGUUUAUAACUAAAUUCAUAAAAACACUCAACAUCUACAUUGGAAUGGAAUGCAAACUGUGAAUCACUAUUCACAAAGCACGCAAAAACUGAAAAGAAUACGUUAAACAGAUAAAUCAAACUUUCUAAAGAAGAAAAACAAAAAACACACCUGUAAGUAAAACAACACAAAAGAGAGUGCUCCACCAUCACAUCUUUUAACAUGGAUUUCUUUUUACAUUGGUAACCAUUGUUCCUACCAUCUAACUUCUCCAAAUUGUCACCUAUUUUCGAAAGAAAAAUUCGAGAGUCCAAUAACUUCUUAUCUUUCCAUCGUUUUCCUUCUUCAUUCCCAAACCAAACAAUUUCCACUCUUUACUUUACCCAAGUAUUGAACUUUUAUAGAUUCAAUAAGAACACUAACCUCCAUUGGAACCAAGAGAGUGCUCCACCAUCACAUCACUGAGUUUUAUAAGAUCCUCCAUGUUGACAGAAUGUUCAUAACUAAAUUCACGUAAAGGCUCAACGUUCUACAUUAGAAUACAAUGCAACACUGUAAAUUACAAACAACAGAACUCGAAAAAACUAAAAAGGAUAUGGUAAUGCAUCAUUGGCAGCAUCCAAAUUGACAACUCGAUGAAAUGGUCAAUGCAAACAUUAUAUACAGAUUCAAAAACAAAAAUUGAAGCCAUGAAAAAACUUAAAACCCCACAAAAAAACCAAAAUCUUAUAGGGGCUUCCUUAUAUUAAUCACACAACGAAAUUAUGAACAACAAAACAUGAAAAAAUUGAAAAGGAUAUGACAAUGCAUCGUUGGCAAGAUCCAGAUUGACAACUGCAAUUUUCUGCAAGCCGAAACGAUGAAAUGGUCAAUGUAAACAUUACAGAUAGAUUUAAAAACAAAAUUGAAGCUAACGAAAAACUUGAAAACCCACAAAAAACCAAAAUCUUAUAGGAGUCCUAUUUUUCCAUCAUUUUUCUACUUCGAAAUAAAAUAGAAAACUCUAAUUUGAGUGCCUACACAUAUAAACAUCGGAUAAAAAUCAUAAAAAAAAUUCAAAACAACUGCAGAGAUAACAAAAAUGAUAAAAAAAAAACACCAUAAAAAUUUUCAAUCAAAAGUUUAAGACACUUUUAACUCACAGGAAGCUCUGUAACUAGUUGCUAGUAGCUGCACAGUGAAAAGACGACUUUGCUGCAAAAUAAUUAACGUAAGAAAUAGUUUAGUAUAACUUAAAACACUUUGGGAAGAUCAUGGGUAUAAUUGUCAUAUACCAAUUGAUUCAUAAAUUGUGCCUGUCCAACCAAGAAAAGCACCUACCUAUAUGCACUAUGGUAUGGCAGACUUUUCAUGUGCUCUAGAUUCAUCAUUUGCAAAAUAUGCAUCUGUCGAACAACAUAAGUCAAUAGAACCUUAUCUUAACGGAAAAAAGAAACUACAAAAUUUGAACUUCUAGCUAAAAGGCAUUCAUUAAUUUCUUUAUAUCAUUUGAAUAAAAAAUUAUUGCACACAAUGAAUGUAUCCAGUUCACUACAGAUUAGUAACCCAUUCUAAUUUGGUCAACAUGAUCGAAUAUGUGUGCGCGUAUAUAUAGCCAUUAUAUGCAAAUCCCUAACAGAUUGAAGUGAUCUCUUAAAACUUGAUCUGGCCAAUGACUCUGGCAGUCCAUCAGACAAAUUAGAUGGUUUAGUACGUGCUCGAUCUCUACUCCUAUAUCAAUAUUGUGUAGUGUGGAAACUUUAUCUCAGGAAACCUCAAUAUGCAUGAGAUAUAACAUUUGAAUCAAGAAUUCACAGAUACAAAAACUACUUAAAAUAAUUUUGAAAGUAAGUAAAAAAAAUCUGUUGUAUGCCUAUUACCUUCGCCGACCCAAAAAAGGUUGGAAAUAUGCUUGAAAUUGGCCGGGAAAAACUCGCAUCUUCGUUGGAAAAACCCACCCACAAGCUGGGCUAAUUGAACUCUUCGAUCGAGGGGUAGAUUCGAGCAUGCAAAGCUCGAAUGUUGUUGUUUUCGCUGGAGAAUAGCAAGGGGAAAAGGAGAGAAGGGAUAAGGAAGGAUAAAAAAAAAAAAAAUAGUGCAUAUUAAUUUGAUCCAGGGACAUAAUUAGAAUAAGGCUAAAACGGAGAGGCUCGCCCAAAACAUAAGAAAUACCUGCAUAAAAGUAUUAACACACACAAAUAAUCUCAUUUGAAUCUCAUAUCAUGUGUCGCAAGCCAAAACAAAAUAUUUGAAAUUCAGACCAACCAAAACAAACAAAAGUUAAUUACCAUGAAAGAUUAUCACAAAAUCGCAAGACCCAGACAAUCGAGCGGGUUCUACGGGGUGGAAGAAAGCACAAAGGCUAUUGCCACGGUGGAGCAAAUUGCAGAAGGCAGGGUAGAGAAGACGUCAUCGAGAGAACUCGAGAAUGGCGAAUGGAGGGGAUACCCCUUCUGAGAUCAGCGAAUAGAAACAAAUGAGUUUUUUCGACUGCUUUCCUCGCCUUUCCACCGUUUUUUUUUUCCCGAUGACCAACACGUGUAGACGUGGGGCAGAACCCGAUGACUAACAUGUGUAGACGUGGGGCAGAAAAAAAAAUCAAUUGUAGGAAAUGGCGAGAGAAAAGCAAAACAAAAGGCAGAGAAUGAAACAGCAGAGAAAUGGAACAGAAAAGGCCGCGAUGAAGAACGUGUUAAAUCCCACCCCCAUUUUAUUUAAAAAUGGUUUUUAGUUCUUAAUUGGUGAGCCAAGGGGCCCACCCUUUUAUUUUUGUAUCCCCCGUGACCCUCUCCUUUCCCUCUUUCCCUCUUUCUUCGUCUCAACCCUCUCGUGCAUCUCUCUCUCCCUCUCUCCCUCAAGCUCUCGUCUCUCUCUCUCCCCCUGGAUUCUCGAAGACCUUAGCACCAUCAGGAGGGACUCCCCACGAAGCAGGGACCCCUGCCCUGCGAGGUAAACGGCACGGAGCAAAGCUCCGACGAGUUUUCUUCCUUUUUCAGUAGGGGUAAGUCUCUAAUCUCUCACUCUCGUACCUAGCUAAAUGUUUGGUCGUGAUUUAUAAGCGUGAACCUUCCAUUUUUACGUAGGUUUUACCUUGGAAACGUUUUGGGUGAGCACACCCAUUUUUCCGGCGAACCCGUGCACUCCGAGGGCUUUUCCGGUCACCUCCGACCGAGUUACGGUGUUUGGAAGGUAGAAAUCUCUUCCUCUCUCUUUGUUCUUCAUUUCCGUACCUAGAUCGGAGCUUGAAGCCCCCAUUUUCAGGUGACCGGAGCUGUAGCAGCUCCGGCCUUCUUCUUCCUCGGCACCAGGCCGUCUGGCCUCUCCCAUUUCCUCCUCGGGCCUUAGGCCCGUGUGGUCUUAAACCCAAAUCCCCAGCCCCUUUUUCUUUUAAUUUUGUUAGUUUAGUUUUUAAAAACCCAAUGGGCUCGGGCCCUAGUUUUGUGAGGCCUUGGGCCGGUUUAAUUAAAGGGCUUAAGCCCUAUCUUUUUUUUUAUAAGGCCUUAAGGCCUUUAUAUUUUGGUGGUGUGUGUGUGUGUGUGUGAUUAGGCAUGCACAUGCAUGCUGUGCAUGUGUGUGUGUGUUUGUUGAAUAUAUGUUUGGGCUUAAGCCCAAACUCCUUUCUUUCACCCUAAUAACCUUUUAACCCAAAACCCUAAACCCAUCCAAUCCCAAUCCCCUAUUUUAAUUUAAUUCAAACCAAAUCUUUUAGAAAAUCCUUUAUUUAUUAAUUAUACAUUCUUGUUCUUAGGUAAAAUUGUUAGUGGAGAAAUUCUAAAUCCUUAUUCGCGCGACUCUUCUGCUAAGGAAUAUUUGUGAGUGGACCCCUUCUAAAAUUACAUGAUUUGAUAAUUUAAUUGCAUAAAUGAUUAGCAUGCCUACGGAUUUAUGAUUUGAUUUAUGUGAAGCCUGAUGAUUUAAUAUAUUGAUUAUCGUCUCGUGUUUUUGGUGAGGAAUUAAUUGUUGGCCUAUAUUGAGCUAUAUUUUAAUAUAUCGUAUUUUCUAUAAAAACCAUGAACUGGUAGACUAUCUGAUUGAUGAUGAUAGGAUGCUAGAACAUGAUUUUGAACCCUCUUUAUAGCGUAGACGAUAAUCGGUAACCUAUGCUACGAAGUGGUAUUUAUGAGAGGCGUAAAUAUUUGUGCGUACCUAGUAGACACUAUGCCGCCUGGGGCGAGGAUCUGGUGUUGGCAUGUAGGCCGGGAGAAAUAAUCCCUAGCGAAAGGCUGAGGGACACGGAGACAGGCAUUGGGCCGGGAGGGAGUUAUCUCUGGCUACGGGCACAGAGACUGAGGUGCGGGCAUUGGGCCGGGAGUUAUAUUUAUUCGGUGAUCUUACUAGCAGCACACCGCGUUUACGAGACGAUUUACGAGAUGUUUUACGCGAUGAUUUAUAUGAUGUUUUCCGCGUUAUGGCUUUUGAGAUAUUUUUGGCAUGCUAGGAUUUUUAUUAAAUCCAUCACUUAUUAUGCUAGUAGUUUUCAUUUAUAUAAACUUUGGGGGUUAGUAUCUUGAUAACUGUUUUAUUAUUAUUGUAUAUAUAAACUUGGUUCACUCACCUUUGUUUUGCGCCCCCAUUCAGGACUUAGAAUCAAGGCACCUAAUCCCGACGUGAAGACACUUCCGCAGCAGCAUCUUCGGAUCCUCUCGAUGUAGGACCCACUUCUUUAUUCAUUCAAUUUUAUCUCAAUUCUUUUUAGUGAUUAGGUUUAGUUGUAUGUUCUGAACACGUUCUUAAAAUUAUUAACUCUUAUUUAUUUCUUAUUCUUAGCUUUUGUAUCAAUUAAUGGCUUUCGUCACCCUCGGGUGUCGGCCAGCACGUGUCUAUCCUGGUAUUCGGGGAAUAUCAGGGUCGGGGCGUGUCAGAACGCAUGUCGAGCGAGGACAAAGUCGCCCUUUUCGACGAUGAUCGACGUGUGGACAGAAUGGACGUCAUUCCACUGUGUGGAGAAGGAAAAAUGGAGAACGACACCGAAGCAAAAGCAAAACGGAAGACAGACGCGUGGGCUAAAAGGGCAAAGGCGUCUUUUAGCUGUGUAAAAAAUGGAAAAAAUGGCUGAUAACAAAGGAAUUGAAGGGCAAUGCAGUCCGUUCACUGUUGGUGAACAGUGCACUCUUUCACAGGAUGAACAGUGAUUUUCUGCUGGGCUUUAGUAUAUAGAUAAUAUGGUUAAAUAAUAUGAUGUUAUGGCGCCUGUGGUUGGGUAUAUCAUGUCCAAUGUGAUACUGCGUGAGAAGAUCUUGGUUUUGUGGAGCCAUAAAUUUGUUGAAGUUGUUAGAGUUUCCUAGCCGUUAAGGUUAGGUCUCCUAGUUUGUAGGGUUGUUUCAGUUGCUGUUAAUAAGUCCUAGUCUUUCGGGAGAAGUUAUUUGAGUUUGAUUUAGUCUUGUACCACAUUGUUAGGGUUGUGAAAUGUGGGCUGCAUAUUUUUAGCUUUCAGUUCUCUUUGUAAGGCUAUUUAAAAGCCAUGUUUACACUUUGAAUAAACACAGAUAUUCUCCCAGGCAUUUGAGUGUUCUAGCAAAUAUAUGUUUACGUGAUCUUUUGUGAGUGUUCAACCUAGGGUUUCCAACAUCUGGUAUCAGAGCCCUACCACGGGGCCUGAUUGAAGUUAUUCUCAUCGUUUAAAACAGCGUCAUGACGACUGAAAGCAGUUUGUGCAACCUGCAAUCCCAAGGUUUGAUGGACACUAUGAUCAUUGGAGCAUGCUCAUGGGGAAUUUUUUGCGCUCCAAAGAAUAUUGGAGCUUGGUGGAGACUGUCAUUCCUGCAGUAGCAGAUGAGCGUGAUCUCACAGAUGGACAGAAGAAAACUAUUGAAGAUCAGCGACUAAAGGAUUUGAAGACUAAGAAUUACUUGUUCCAGGCCAUUGAUCGAUCAAUCCUGGAGACAAUAUUGAAGAAGGAUAUCGCGAAUGACAUCUCGGACUCCUUGAAGCAGAAGUACCAAGGCACGGCAAGAGUCAAGCGAGCAUAGUUACAAGCUCUUCGAAAGGAGUUUGAGAUUUUGCAUAUGAAGGAAGGGGAAUCAGUGAAUGAGUACUUUGCAUGUACUCUCACCAUAGCCAACAAGAUGAGGAUUCAUGGGGAAAAAAUGGAAGAUGUUGUGGUCAUCGAAAAGAUUAUGCGAUUAAUGACUUCUAAAUAUGACUAUGUGGUAUGUUCCAUCGAAGAAUCAAAUGAUCUCGACAUCCUAUCCAUCGAUGAAUUGCAAAGCAGCCUGCUUGUACAUGAACAAAGGAUGGGGAGACACACAGCGGAUGAGCAUGCUCUAAAGGUGACUUAUGAUAUUCACCAAGGCGGGCGAAGGGGACGCAGCAGUUUCCGAGGAAGAGGACGAGGAAGGGGUAGAAAUGGCCCUGACAAGACUACCCUUGAAUGUUACCACUGUCAUGAACUUGGACAUUUUCAGUGGGAAUGUCCUAAGAAGGGGAAGGAUUCAAAAGGCUUUUAUGCAGAAACUAGUGAAGAAAUGUUAUUGAUGGCCUACAUGGAUAUCAAGGAGGAUGACAGGGAAGAAUUAUGGUUCUUGGACUCGAGAUGGAGCAAUCAUAUGUGUGGUAAGAAGGAGCUGUUCAUAGAUUUGGACGACACCUUCAGGAAGUCUGUGAAGCUGGGGAACAACUCAAGCUUAGACGUGCUAGGAAAGGGAAAUAUUCGAAUGGAGGUCAAUGGGAUCAUGCAAGUCAUUAUUUGAGUGUUCUUUGUACCGGACUUAAAAAAAAAUUUACUGAGCAUUGGUCAGUUGCAAGAGAAGGGUCUUUGCCAUUUUUAUCAAAAAUGGCAAGUGCAGGAUUUAUCAUCCAGAAAGAGGACUGAUUUAGGAGACCACAAUGGCAGAAAAUCGCAUGUUUAUCUUGCUGGCACGCACACAAUUACAAGGGCAGAAAUGUUUCAACGUGAUUACGGACGAUCAACAUCAACUAUGGCAUCGUAGAUAUGGACACUUGGGUUGGAGUGGUCUAAAAGUCCUUCAACAGAAGAGUAUGGUGAAGGGCUUACCAAAAUUCAAAACACACAUGCAAGUUUGUGAAGAAUGUUUGGUAGGAAAACAACAACGAGAUCCAUUUCCAAAUGAGAGUACGUGGAGAGCAUCUCAGAUUCUUCAACUCGUGCAUGCAGACAUAUAUGGGCCUAUCAAUCCAAUCUCCAACAGCAAAAAGAGGUAUCUAAUUAGUUUCAUUGAUGAUUAUAGUAGGAAAACAUAGGUGUACUAUUUGGUUGAGAAGUUAGAAGCUCUUAGUAUUUUCAAAAGUUUCAAGACUAGGGUUGAAAAGGAAACUAGUUCAAGCAUAAGGACCCUACGUACAGAUCAUGGGGGUGAAUUCACUUCCCUCGAGUUCACAGAUUUUUGCAACAUGCAUGGAAUUCAAAGGCAGUUGACAGCUGCUUACACUCCCCAGCAGAAUGGCGUCGCGGAGAGGAAGAAUCGAACCAUCAUGAACAUGGUUCGAAGCAUGCUUACAGAGAAGAAAAUUCCAAGAACUUUUUGGCCAGAAGCAGUUAAUUGGGCCAUUCAUGUGCUCAACAGAAGUCCAACCCUAGCAGUGAGGAAUAUGACGCCAGAAGAAGCCUGGAGUGGCUUUAACCAUCAGUGGAGCACUUCAGGGUUUUUGGUUGCUUAGCACACGUGCAUGUUCCUGAUAGCAAGAGAAUCAAGCUCGAUGACAAGAGUAUGACGUGUAUUAUACUCGGAGUCAGUGAGGAAUCCAAGGUCUAUCGUCUAUACAAUCCAGCUUCUAAGAAGAUAGUAAUAAGUUAGGAUUUUGUUUUUGAAGAAGACAAAGCUUGGGACUGGAGUGACCAUCACCAAGAAACAAUCAUGGCUGAUCUCGAGUGGGACAUGAAUGAAGAAGGAGAUCCGAGGAAUGAUGAGGCUGAUGAACCAACACUGGAGAGCGAGGAAUCAAAUCAUAAUGACCAUACUGAGAUGACUGCCAUCGAAGGACGAGUUAGACGACAACUAGUGUGGAUGAGAGAUUAUGUAAAUGGAGAAAGUCUCUCCGAGGAAGAUGUGAGUUACUUAGUUCUAUUCACUGAGUUUGAUCCCAUUACGUAUGAAGAGGCUAUGAAAAGUGACAAAUGGAAGAAGGCCAUGGAUUCAGAAAUUCAAGCAAUAGAGAGAAACAAUACAUGGGAGCUGAUAGAGAUGCCACCAGAAGGGAAAAUAGUUGGGGUAAAGUGGAUUUACAAAACUAAGUUCAACGAGAAAGGUGAAGUGGACAAGUACAAGGCUCGCCUGGUUGCAAAAGGGUAUAGCCAGCAAUAUGGAGUAGAUUAUGCAAAAGUGUUUGCACCUGUGGCACGAUUGGAUAUAGUUCGUGUCAUUCUAUCACUUGCAGCAAAGAAUGAUUGGACUGGGUACCAAUUAGAUGUCAAAUCAGCUUUCCUCCAUGGUGAAAUAAAUGAAGAAGUGUUCAUAGCGCAGCCUCCAGGUUAUGAACAAAAAGGGCAGGAGCAUAAAGUUUAUAAGCUUAAAAACGCUCUAUACGGUCUCAAACAGGCUCCUCGAGCCUGGUACAACUGCAUUGAGUCUUAUUUCAUGAAGGAAGGCUUCGAGAAGUGCCCACAUGAACAUACCUUGUUUGUCAAGAGAGUGAAUGGAGGUAAAAUGUUAAUUGUCUGCCUUUAUGUUGAUGAUCUUAUAUUCACUGGGAAUGAUGAGUCAAUGUUCAAAGAUUUCAAACAUUCAAUGAUGACUAAAUAUGCUCAAGAAGUGUUGGAGAGGUUUAAUAUGGACCAAUGUAAUGCAGUUCAUAACCCUAUUGUUCCUGGUUUCAAAUUGAUGAAGGAUGAAGAAGGAGUAGAAGUGGAUAGCACUCUGUACAAACGAAUCGUGGGCAGUCUUAUGUGCUUGACUACAACGCGACCAGAUAUGAUGUAUGUUAUUAGCCUGAUUAGUAGGUUCAUGGAACGACCUACUGAGCUGCAUCUUAAAGCAGCAAAAAGGGUGUUGAGGUACUUGAAGGGCACGGUGAAUUUUGUGUUGGUCUAUAAGAAGGGAGGAGGAGAAGAACUCUUCGAAUACACUGACAGUGAUUAUGCUGGAGAUCAGGAUGAUAGGAAGAGUACUUCUAGAUACGUUUUUAUGUUAAGUUCUGGGGCAGUUUCUUGGUCCUCAAAGAAACAACCGGUGGUCACGUGAUCUACCAUCGAAGCUGAGUUUAUAGUUGCAGCUUCAAGUGCAUGUCAAGCAGUUUGGUUAAGGAGGAUCUUGCAACAGCUCAAUCAUGAACCGCAUAAGUUUACAACCAUUUACUGUGAUAAUAGUUCUACCAUUAAACUCUCAAAGAAUCCAGUGAUGCAUGGGUGUAGCAAGCACAUAGAUGUUCGGUUCCACUUUCUUCGAGAGCUUACCAAAGAUGAGGUUGUAGAGUUGGCUCAAUGUUCUUUGCAGGAGCAGGUGGCAGACAUCAUGACCAAGCCUCUGAAGCUGGACGUGUUUCAGAAAUUGCGGGGGUUGUUGGCUGUUCAUUCACUCGUGGAUAUAAACUGAUUGCUGAUAGCAUUCAGUUUAAGGGAGGAUGUUGAAGUUGUUAGGGUUUCCUAGCUGUUAGGGUUAGGUCUCCUAGUUUGUAGGGUUGUUUCAGUUGCUGUUAAUAAGUCCUAGUCUUUAGGGAUAAGUUAUUUGAGUUUGAUUUAGUCUUGUACCACGUUGUUAGAGUUGUGAAACGUGGGCUGCAUAUUUUUGGCUUUCAGUUUUCUUUGUAAGGCUAUUUAAAAGCCAUGUUUACACUUUGAAUAAACACAG